AUUGAACGCUGGCGGCAUGCUUUACACAUGCAAGUCGAACGGUAACAGGUUAAGCUGACGAGUGGCGAACGGGUGAGUAAUGCAUCGGAACGUGCCCAGUCGUGGGGGAUAACGCAGCGAAAGCUGCGCUAAUACCGCAUACGAUCUGAGGAUGAAAGCGGGGGACCGUAAGGCCUCGCGCGAUCGGAGCGGCCGAUGUCAGAUUAGGUAGUUGGUGGGGUAAAGGCUCACCAAGCCGACGAUCUGUAGCUGGUCUGAGAGGACGACCAGCCACACUGGGACUGAGACACGGCCCAGACUCCUACGGGAGGCAGCAGUGGGGAAUUUUGGACAAUGGGCGCAAGCCUGAUCCAGCAAUGCCGCGUGCAGGAAGAAGGCCUUCGGGUUGUAAACUGCUUUUGUACGGAGCGAAAAGGCUCUCUCUAAUACAGGGGGCUCAUGACGGUACCGUAAGAAUAAGCACCGGCUAACUACGUGCCAGCAGCCGCAGUAAAAC
rnacentral:rRNA from 1 species